CCGCCGCGAUCCCUGCGCACCACGGCCCUGCCCGCCACGGGGCGAGCCCGAUAAGAGGGCUGUGGACGUUCGGGUCUAGUUGGGAGAGACAGGGGUCCCUGACUCUUGAGCGGUCAGUCAUUUCCUCCCCAGUCCUUGUGGGUGACGUGGCUACGGUUUGGAGCAGCAAGCCCCCUCCCCGAACUAAAGGGCCUCUCCAAAGGUUAAGCCAGGGCAGUCAUUGAGGUCAAAACCAAUAUGUAGUUUCUUGACUGCAGGUGCCUGCACGACUCCCAGAAAGUCGCGUCUCCCCUAACCCCCAUGCCCAGGACCUGAGGACAAAGGUCUAGCGAUUGUCCAUCCCCUCCCCCAGUGAGGACAGCCGGGAAAGACCUGCCUUUGUUGUGUACAGGUGGUAUCUCACUGUGUUAUCCAGACUGGACUCAAAUUUCUGGGCUCCAAUGGUCCUCUCACCUCAGCCUCCCAAGUAGUCAGGACUACAGGCCUUAUAGCAUUGCUCUGUUGUGUGUUGAAUUGAAAUCCUAAACCCUGUGGCUGUGACUUUAUUUGGAAAUAGGAUCCUUGGAGACAUGAUCAAGUUAAGAACUCCAUGGCAAUGUUUUGAGGAUUAAAGAGGAGAGUGAUGACUAUCCAAACGUCAGAGAACGCAACUAUGAGACUAGAGACACUGGAAAACUAAAAAAGUAACGGGCCUUUGCUGACUCAGGGAGAUGAUUUCCCAAGAGGGAAGAAAACUGGAACCUGAGAAAUAAGUGAUUUAGUAAUGUGGCUGCUAAAAUACGGAAAAACUAGAAUGAAUGGCUUACACAUUUUUGAAAUGAAGUUAGAAGAGGGUUAUACUGUGAAGAAGAAUGAAAAAGCCAAACAUUUCAUUCAGGUAAGCAUAUCACAUAGGAGAAACUCUAGGUGACUUUGGUUUGGCAGUGAGUUUUUAGAUACAACACCAAAGCACAAUCCAUAAAAGAAAAGAAAGAUAGAUAAGUUGGACUUCAUUAAAAUGAA
rnacentral:lncRNA from 1 species